rnacentral:rRNA from 1 species
GGAUCAAUUUACUGGUCGUGCCUAUGGUACGUACUGGUAUUGUUGGUUCCUCCUUUCUGAGGAGCCGCGAUGUCAUUAACUUGGUGUCGUGGGGAAUCAGGACUGUUACUUUGAAAAAUUAGAGUGUUUAAAGCAGGCUAACGCUUGAAUACAUUAGCAUGGAAUAAUGAAAUAGGACGUUUGAUUCUAUUUUGUUGGUUUCUAGGGUCGACGUAAUGAU